rnacentral:rRNA from 1 species
UACGUUUAGUUGCUAACGCGUGAAGGCGAGCACUCUAGCGAACUGCCGUUGACAAAACGGAGGAAGGUGGGAUGACGUCAAAUCAUCAUGCCCUUAUGUUCUGGGCUACACACGUGCUACAAUGGCCGGUACAGACGGACGCAAAGCCACGAGGUGGAGCAAAUCCUAAAAAGCCGGUCUCAGUUCGGAUUGCAGGCUGCAAUUCGCCUGCAUGAAGUCGGAAUCGCUAGUAAUCGCAGGUCAGCAUACUGCGGUCGAAUACGUUCCCGGGCCUU